rnacentral:rRNA from 1 species
UACGGGGGGGGCAAGCGUUGUUCGGAAUUACUGGGCGUAAAGGGUUCGUAGGCGGCCUGCUAAGUCACACGUGAAAUCCCUCGGCUCAACCGGGGAACUGCGUGUGAUACUGGCGGGCUUGAAUUCGGGAGAGGGAUGUGGAAUUCCAGGUGUAGCGGUGAAAUGCGUAGAUAUCUGGAGGAACACCGGUGGCGAAGGCGGCAUCCUGGACCGAGAUUGACGCUGAGGCGCGAAAGCUAGGGGAGCAAACGGG